rnacentral:lncRNA from 1 species
GGAUCCUUGAAUCCUGCCAGACCUCGCUCCCCUGGGCCUGGGGCGCCCCCGAACUCAUCCUCGCAGCUUCCCUGUCCCAGGAGGGCCCGCUGGCCAAAUCCUCCCCACUCUGCCUGCGGCGAGGCUUGCUGGACUAGCAGACUCAGAAUGGCCUGUUCUGAACAGCCUUGGGGUUUCCGUUUGCACAUUCUGAAGCAAAGCAAUGAGGUUCCUGGAACUGGAUGUAGCAGCCACCUACUGCCACUAACCACAGAGUGGCCACCAGGCAUCUCCGGACACUGGCAGUUGGCAACCCCUCUGGUUCAGAUCAUCUGAAAUGAAGCCCUACACAGCCCAAGGACACGCCCACGUCUGCGACAGAACGCACACUGAGAGCUUCCUGUUGCCUGGGAAACGCGUUAAAUGUGCUACAGAGACACAGACUUGUAUCCAACAUUUCAGAGGUAGUCAGUAUGCAGCAGGAAAACAAAAUAAAACGCAGGCUGAAAUGGGUGGGAUCCAAGGAAUCAAAGCAGUAGAUGGACGACCAGGAGCACCCCAGGUUAUCUUCAGGAAACAGAGCGACAAAACGCAAAGGGACGCUCACCUACCUCAUGAAUUACGCGUGUCGCCCUCCUCAAGACGCCACAACGCACUCCCCUGGGGAGCCAGCUGGAGACCUCUCCCUGCGGUGCUGUCUCCUCCGUGGUGGAACGGAAGCCCCUAAUAAAGCCUUGUCUGGGAAA